rnacentral:rRNA from 1 species
CAUGCCGUAAACGUUGGGCACUAGGUGUGGGGCUCAUUCCACGAGUUCCGCGCCGCAGCAAACGCAUUAAGUGCCCCGCCUGGGGAGUACGGCCGCAAGGCUAAAACUCAAAGGAAUUGACGGGGGCCCGCACAAGCGGCGGAGCAUGCGGAUUAAUUCGAUGCAACGCGAAGAACCUUACCAGGGCUUGACAUAUACCGAAAACUCAUAGAGAUAUGGGGUCCUUAGGGGCGGUAUACAGGUGG